rnacentral:rRNA from 1 species
UGGAGAGUUUGAUCCUGGCUCAGGACGAACGCUGGCGGCGUGCCUAAUACAUGCAAGUCGGGCGGAGCCCGAGGGGAGCUUGCUCCUUAUCGGGCUCAGCGGCGGACGGGUGAGUAACACGUGGGUAACCUGCCCGUAAGACCGGGAUAACUCCGGGAAACCGGGGCUAAUACCGGAUAACACCGGGGGCCGCAUGGCUUCCGGUUGAAAGGCGGCCUUUGGCUGCCACUUACGGAUGGGCCCGCGGCGCAUUAGCUAGUUGGCGGGGUAACGGCCCACCAAGGCGACGAUGCGUAGCCGGCCUGAGAGGGUGGACGGCCACACUGGGACUGAGACACGGCCCAGACUCCUACGGGAGGCAGCAGUAGGGAAUCUUCCGCAAUGGGCGAAAGCCUGACGGAGCGACGCCGCGUGAGCGAGGAAGGCCUUCGGGUCGUAAAGCUCUGUUGUCAGGGAAGAAGGCGCGCCGUUCGAACAGGGCGGCGCGGUGACGGUACCUGACGAGGAAGCCCCGGCUAACUACGUGCCAGCAGCCGCGGUAAAACGUAGGGGGCGAGCGUUGUCCGGAAUUACUGGGCGUAAAGCGCGCGCAGGCGGUCCUUUAAGUCUGAUGUGAAAUUCCGCGGCUCAACCGCGGGUGUGCAUUGGAAACUGGGGGACUUGAGUGCGGAAGAGGGGAGCGGAAUUCCCGGUGUAGCGGUGAAAUGCGUAGAGAUCGGGAGGAACACCAGUGGCGAAGGCGGCUCUCUGGUCCGCAACUGACGCUGAGGCGCGAAAGCGUGGGGAGCGAACAGGAUUAGAUACCCUGGUAGUCCACGCCGUAAACGAUGAGUGCUAAGUGUUAGAGGGGUUAACCCUUUAGUGCUGUAGCUAACGCGUUAAGCACUCCGCCUGGGGAGUACUCCGGGAAACCGGGGCUAAUACCGGAUAACACCGAAGACCGCAUGGUCUUCGGUUGAAAGGCGGCUUCGGCUGCCACUUACGGAUGGGCCCGCGGCGCAUUAGCUAGUUGGUGAGGUAACGGCUC